rnacentral:piRNA from 1 species
UGGGAAAGAUGGGCUUCACAGCCUCAU